AACGCACAUUGCGCCCAUUAGUAUUCUAGUGGGCAUGCCUGUUCGAGCGUCAUUUCAACCCUUAAGCCUAGCUUAGUAUUGGGAACUGGCUUUACUGCCAUUCCUCAAAUUCAACGGCGGAUUUAUAGCAAUCUCUGAACGUAGUAAUUUUUUUCUCGUUUUUGAAAUACUGUAAACCUCAGCCGCUAAACCCCCCAAUUUUUAAUGGUUGACCUCGGAUCAGGUAGUAAUACCCGCUGAACUUAA
rnacentral:misc_RNA from 1 species